UCCUGUUUGUCGUAGCAGCGGACCUUCACAUCUUUACAUUUUAAAGAUCUUUCUUUGCUAUUUAUUGAUACUGAUAAUAGUUAAUAAUUCAUAUCAAAAGUUUGCAUUAAUAAUUAAUAAAUACGCUUGCAAUAUGCACGCUAAACAUGAAUCGAAUUCAACUGAAUAAGAGGAAAAGUCUAUGUCAGUAUCGGCUGAAUGCCUAAAACGAAAUAUGACGCUGUAUCUUAUUUUUUCUUCUCUGAAAGCACAUGUAAUUUGACUUUGCAUUCUUACGCAUUCGUGAGAAAUUAAAAAAUAUAGAAAAUAUUCAAAAUAAAGCAAUUGCUUCAUUUGACGGGUGAAAUAAAUUUUCGUAUUAAGGCAAAUAAAUUCCCAGUCCACGUGUUUCAUUAAUUUGUUACUCGCUCUUCUCAAAUAAUCGCCAGAGGGAGCGACCAUAAUAUUUAAGACGCAGUUGGAUCGACUGUAUCGAGACCGGCGCGUAUUAUGUUACUUAAUUGCAUUAGUCAAGUCGAAAUACUUGGAAUUGUGAUUGUACGGGGUGCUAACGGAAGGGAAACGUGCAACAAGUGUGACUGCUUCAUCACUCUCAGCGUGCGUGGGUAGGCGUGAGAAACUGCGCGCAGCUCGAUCGAGAAAGAGAGAAAACGCGAAGGAGAGAGAAGCUGAGAGCCGGAGCAAAUGUUCGAAAGGUCGCAUUUCUGAGAUUUCCCCGAGUUCCUGGUGACCUGCAACCGAGAAGUUAGGCUCGCGCAAACAAAGGAAAGGGGAGAGUUACGCCCACGCAGCGUGCGACCGCGAUUCUCCCUUGCCUCUACUUCGUAUUAACUUUCCACCGAAUCAGCAACGUCGAUCCGACACUUGGCACUGCAGCUGGAGGAGAUACACGUAAGCAAAAGGAAGUCAGAUUGAUCAGAAAUUCGAAGGCAUAAACUGGCUGAUAGGUGGAACAUCAAAAUUAUCGCUAGAAAACGAAAUUCUUAUGUACAGAAUGAUAUUAAUAUGGACGUACAAAUGGAAGUUUGAGGAUGUGCUAGUAAAGCCAGCAUUGCAGUUUUAUAGAGAGUCUGGUGAAAAAUCCUCCGUUCAAUGGCACAAUGGUACGUAUCGAAUAAAACUCUCCUCCAUGAUGAUCUGCACAUGCUCUUCACAGCAAACGCUACACAAAAAGGAAGCAUAAAGCGUAACAGCGAACUAGAAACGCGUUCAACCCUCUAGCGCAACCACAAUAGCAAGACUUUCGAAGAUUAAAGGACUCUGGCUACUUGACCUCAGACGAAGAAACACGAGUCUCUUCAUUGGCAGAAUCCUCAUCACAUCAUGUUAACUAUACUUCGGCAUAUCUGUCAAAAGGCUUCUCUUCCUGAUAGCUUACAUUCCCGUUGUUUGAUGCAAGAAGUAGCAAUGUCAUUUACCGUACUUACAAAGCUGAGGUUGACUUUGGUAUCUUUCGUAGGAGGUUUAUUUCAUGAAAAAUGUUGACAUUCGCAUGUACAAAUGUCGUCAUAGUCAUUUCUAGAUAGAACUGGAAAUUGUCGUUUUUUAUAUGGAAUAUACAACUGUUUACAAAAUCAAUACCACCGGGUUUAACUAAUUUUUGCAAAAAUGUAACAUUGAGAUCUUCUGCCUCAGCCAUAGAUAUUUCUAUAUAAAAAUUGUACGUGUUAUUCGAAAUAUUUUGAAAUUUCAUUUCCAUUGGUAGAAGUCUCUAGCACCGUGAUUAUUCCGGCAAAAUUCGAAACAAAUCCGAAUAUAUCUAAAUCUGGGUCUUUCGUAGCCCUAAAGAUUUUCUCUUGCGCUUGACAAUAUAGGCGGAACAUGAUUUGCAUAAUUGUUCUGGUUUCUUAUUUAAUCAUCGCUACUAUUCUGAUCUCGUGAACCAUUUUAUUAGAAUCUGAAUCAUACGCGCUCGUCGAUGUUGCGCAAUGUAUAAGAAUAUUAUGCCUUCGCACUGAGUCAUCAUCAAUUAUUAUUACGCAAAAGCUAUUUCAGUACAAUUUGUUCCAUGUCUGUACAGCGGUUAGGUGUUAAAAAUUAAGUAAUAUCAUGUCCCAAUAUAUUUGUUUCUUGGAAGACCAUAUUAUUAGCUGUCAUUUGCAUUUAUUUUAUAGGUCUCGAUACAUAGAUGUUAUUUGACCCGAUUGCAAUGCUAUCGAUUAUCGUGUAACAGUUCUGCGAAACGAGGGAACGUCUAUAAAUAUAUUUAUCGUAACGAAUGAAAAAAUAAAUUAAAGAAUCGAUUCAGAAUUGGAUGUUAUCCAAUUAAUAUCAUUGAACACCAUUUACUAAAAGAGAUUACGUUCACUCUAUGUGUGUACAUUCCUAUUUUUCAAUAUGUUUUCACAUUCUUUAAUCACUUUGGUCGGAAAUAAAAUAGACAAAAAAAAUGAUUAAACUAAAUGAAAGAUCAAAUAAAAUCUUAUUGUUCCAGGAAGAUUUUCCAAGAUGAUAAAAUUACUGAAUUAUAGAGUUUUAACCCCUUAACCUACUAUUUACGUUCGGGAAUUUUGGGCCGAAAGCGUAAAAAAAGCUCGUACAGCUUUCGAGCCAUUCGCACGACUUGUGUACGUACGUACCACGAGCGAUGCCCGUAAUAUUUACGAUUGGUCCGAUCAUCUACUACGGGCUAUGCCCGUAAUAUUUACAUUUGGCCCGAUCAUCGUACUACGGGCUAUGCCCGUAGUUGUAGGUUAAGGAUUUAAUUCUCGUUCCUAACGUUGUCCGAAAAUAGAAUGAACAAAAACUAUUAGAGCGCAGAAGAGGUAAAAUAAAAUUGUAUUUAUUGCAGAAAGAUUUUUAAAUACGAUAAGAUCACUGAAUUAUAGAAUCUACGUUCGUCGAUGAUUUUGACCAGAAAUAAAAUGAAAAAAAAAUGAAGACUAUUAGGUUAAAGAAGGGGACAAAAUAAAAUUAUAUCGUUCUAGGAAGAUUUUUGCACGUGACAAAAUUAUUGUAUAAAAUUAACCUUCUAUCUGUAAUUAGAGUAACGCGAUGUUAGCUUCAAGUACUUCGGCACGACUGGUAUAAAUUAAGCUGUUCCACGAUAGAUGGUAUUCGUGUUUACGAAGUGGUAGAAAAUUUCAUAGUUGAUUUUUUUCAGAGGCGUUAAGAAACUCCGGUUACUUUUAUGUCCAAGAUUACAUCGACUCGCAAACUAAGGUGCGCCGGAACGAAAUGAUUAUAUCUUCUGUGACGUUUAUGAGGAUCACGAAACGGCUUUAAACGAACACGUAGCAUGAUGCAUUGUCGUGUUAGCAAUGCAGCUCUAACAGUAAGUCUCGACCUGGCAGAUGUUUCUUCAGGUCAUUGCAUUAUAAUCUGAUGUAUCCAGUACAAAAGCGAAUGACGGGCCUUUUGACUUACGCGAUCAACGCUCGACAUUUUAUUGCUUUGCGUCUGCACGAUGUUUACGACGUUGUUUCUGUUAGCCGCGUCGUAUAGUAUUUCACACUUAUUCCGUAUAGUACGUACCAUGCGAGUAGACUUUCGAGAAACUAAAUGGAAAUUAAUUUCCAUGCAAAUGGAUUGUUAUCUUUGAAUCAUUCUCGCCGAGAAUUCUGUCAAGAAUUCCUCGUGUUUAUAAUACUAUACGAAUAUUCGAUAUAUUUAGACAGAUCGAUCUUGGCCAUGAAAAUCAGGAACAAACGUUCCUUCGUCGUAUCGUUCUGCUCAUCAUGAGAAACAGUUUCUGUUCGAAAUGACGAGCUGCGUCAAUUAAUUAAAAAAGACGUAGUCGACCUUCAAUCUACAAAAAGAAAACUACUUCACGUGUCUCGCUAUGAAGAAUCUAGUUUACGUCUGUUUUCAAGAACGAUUUGUUUUCCUUUUUCUUAAGCGACGAGAAUAAAAAGAAGAAGAAGAAGAAAGGUCAUGAUAAAUGACUUUCAGAUUAGCAGAUUCUAUUCGACAGCUCAUUUUUCGUGUGUCUAUGGCCACACAGCCGUUUAUAGUGGAACAUGAAUACUCCUCUUCUUCAUUAUAUUCCAGCAUCCUGACCGUAUCUGUGAAAAUCACAAACAAUAAGUAUAAAUACAUAACAUACUUAACAAAUUCGAUAUUUCUCUGUUUGAUAUGCGCUGAAACAAAUGCACGGAAAAUUCGAUGCUGCGCAGGUAAAUACAGAAAUUAAGAAUAUAACGGGUAAAUUGAAAAUAAAAUGUUUCUAAAUUAGGAAUGAAAUUAAUUCUGUUCAAUUCGUUAUAAAAUUUGUUACAAAUUGGUCAAAAGAAUAAAUUAACUUGAUCGGAUUUAAAGAAUAAUUUUCUUACUGUUAUAUUGUUAUCAAACUGUUCUAAAUUGGACGACUGAUAAAAUUUCCAAGGUGAUAUCUCUCCAGGAUUUCAACGAAGGGUAAUACCCCAUAACUACAAUUUUGUUUAAAAAAAAAUGGUAAUUCCUAUCCUAAACAAGACAUAUAAUAAAAACAUCGCAGUUGCUCCUCAUUGUAGCUGAAAUAAGCCUCGUAGGAGGCUUCAAACGUUUAACAACAAAAAUAAAUUUUUAUUGAAUCCUUAGUCUUCCGCGUAAAGUAAUUGUUUUCAUCUCCAAUGUAAAGGUAAAUUCAAAGUGAAUCAAGCCUAUCUUUCGCAAUUUUCAAGUUCCAUUAAGCUUUAAAAAAUUCAAACGUCCGCGAUACGAGCCCUGCUGGCGUACGAUGCACACUGUCACUAGUGGCACUCCCGUGUAAUCCGCUUCUGUCAUAUAGCUGCUAUAACGAUCGAUGGAACCGCCUUGAUUGACGUUCAAAAUCUAAUAUCUGAAAUGUGUCAGAGGGAAGAGGCCUAGAAGUGUAUCAGCGAUUGCCCUUGAGAGUUAGGAACUUUAUAUGGGAUGCUGCAACAGCGACAGACGCCCACGAGGUCAGUAAUAAUUGACUUUCGCGUCAUUUUCUUCGUACGAAGCGAUGAUACGCGCUGCGGCCUUUGUCUUCGGCGAAUUUCAUCGAAUAUCACGUUAAUUUGGUUUCCAGCGAAAUAGCUGAUUUCUCAUACUGUGUCAGAUGUGAUGCAAUACGUACGCUAUCGGGACAGAUUCAAAGGAGCAUGUUAGGAAAUGUCCAUUCGUCGGAUAUUCUCGCAGCACGUUUAGGAGCAUCCCUCAAGGAAGAGAAAGUGCCAGUGGGAUUCGUCCAAAAAGGGAUGGGAAAGUUGAAAAAAAUGAGCGCGAAGAUGAGAAAAUCUUCAUCUUCUUCGGAUACUGAUCCGUCCAGAAAAUAAUUCUUUGGAAAUUCUGCUGGUAAAUUGGAGAAGCGGUAUUCUUGAGUUUAUACUGUCUUCA